rnacentral:rRNA from 1 species
UACAGAGGGUGCGAGCGUUAAUCGGAAUUACUGGGCGUAAAGCGCGCGUAGGCGGUUAUGUAAGUCGGAUGUGAAAUCCCCGGGCUCAACCUGGGAAUUGCAUUCGAGACUGCAUGGCUAGGAUGCGGAAGAGGGAAGCGGAAUUUCCGGUGUAGCGGUGAAAUGCGUAGAUAUCGGAAGGAACACCAGUGGCGAAAGCGGCUUCCUGGUCCAGCAUCGACGUUCAGGCACGAAAGCGUGGGGAGCAAACGGG